rnacentral:lncRNA from 1 species
UAAGCAAUAGUUCCUUGCAGCAGUCCCAUUCAUUCUGUCGCUUACAUAAAUUAUUAUUCAUUACACCGUUGUCAAUAUUGUGGGGUUCUUGAUUGAAGUCACGAUUUUUUUUUUUUAUUUUAUUUUUUUUUUUUUAUUUUUUUCUUAUCGGAGUAGCUAAAACUGCAAGAUUUUAAAACUUUGCUGUUUGCUUUCAUGUUUCCAGACAACUAAACAGCAGUUGAUUCGUAUUAUGGAGAGUAACUUCUCUGAAACAGUCAACUCUCCUUAUUUUACGGACAAAACAAUGUUCAUAAUAUACUUCAUGAGGGAGCCAAAACACUUGAUGGUACUUGCCCCGCAAGGUUUUGGAAAGUCAACUAUCCUCUCUAUGCUUCAACUUUUCCUCGAACUCCAGAUUUGUUUUAGGCAGACCGGAAUGGGACCAUAGUUCAACCUAACAUCACUCAAAAUGUACCCUUUUUUGAAAGAGUCAAGAUUCGGCGGGAGGAAGAAUUCUAUGAGCGUCAUUUUGCGCAACACCCCGUCCUUUAUUUGAACCUGAAACAUCUAGCCUGCCAUUCGAGCUACUUGGUGUUCGGUCGGACCUUCCGGGAUAUGAUCGUCCGCAUGCUUCUCAAAUACAAGUAUCUGCUUAGAAGUAGAAACUUGGCCUCGAGGGCUCCUCAGGAGUACUACAGCUGCUUUAAGUUACUCUUCCAGUCUAAUUUUAAUCCUGAGCAUUUCAUACUCAUGGGUCGCAGGAUGACCAGGUACCUAUCUUGGCACUUCGAGCGCAAAUGCGUGGUGCUGAUCGACGGGUUCGACGCGCCCGGAACGCGAACCCUCCAACCGGGCUGCUCGUACCCUGGGAUGCCGGGCACCUCGACGGACAAGCGGAUCCUGGACGUGGUGGGCCGCUUCUUGACGGCCCUGCUGGAGGGUGACGAGUUCGUGAGCCACUCUCUGUCGACGGGCGUUACGCGGAUAGGGAGCACCGUCGUCUACGCGAACCUCACAGCCGCCUCCGCCCUCGACGAGCCUGAUCUCGCCCCGUUCUUCGGCCUCACCGAAACCGAGCUCCGGGACAUCGCCAUGAGUCGAGGGCAGCUCCAUCACUUGGAGAGACUCGCGCUUUGGUACGGCGGGUAUCGUGCUCAAGGUUGGUGGUUUUUUUUUCGAAAUCUUCAGUAGCCCGCCUAUUCUGGCGAACUCUGAGAGUCUGGGAGUCCCGAAUGUGUCGGAGAUAUAGAUAAGCAAAAAAAAGAGAAAGAGAAAAAAUACGAAGAAGAAGAAGAAGAGAGAUAAGGAGAAAAGAGAAAGAAGAAAAACUUAAAGAGAAAGAAGGAGAAUAAAAUAGAAAGAAGAUUAAGAGAAAGAGAAAGAAGGAGAAGAAAAUAGAAAGAUAAAAAGGAAAUAGAGAAAGAGAAAGAGGAAGAAAGAAGAGGAACAGAAAUAAAAAGAAGAAUAAGAGGAAGAGAAUAAGGAGAAGAAAAAGAGUAAGAGAAAUAAGGAGAAGAAAAAAGAAAGAGAAAUAAGGAGAAGAAAAAGGAAAGAGAAAUAAGAAGAAGAAAAAGAGAAGGAGAGAGAGAAGAAAACGAGGAAGAGGAAGAGAAAGAAGGAGAAAAAAAGAGAAAGAGAAAGAGAAAGAAGAAGAAAAAGAAAAAGAGAAACAGAAGAAGAAAGAGAAAAAGAUGAGGAAAAAGAGGAAGAAAAAGACAAAGAAAAAGAAAUUUUGCUUCCUCAUAAUCUUCUUCCUUUUUUCUUCCUUUUCACCCUCUUCCUAAUUUCCUUCUUCCUCCUAUUUUCUUUCUUCCUCUCCUUCUUCUCCUUCAUCUUUAACCUCUCUUUUUGGUUCUCUCUCCUCCGAUUUGUAGUACAUUCGACUUAUGUUAGGAGUGCCAGUACCUGGGUUUGGAAGACUGGGGUUAUAGAAGACCUCAUGAAGUUGUAAAAUGUGUAAAAAUGUUAAUUUAAAACUCUUCUGCACACGUUUUUGCGAAAAAUCUCACGAUUGAGCAGCUCUGAGAAUGCCGGAGCUUAAACUUUUGGAUUCCCUCCCUUUCGAGAUUCUCUUCAGCUCCUAAACAUGUAUCAGUCACGCCACUGUAUUAAUUGUGUCUUGUUCUUCACUGACAACUCUAUUACUCUGGUAAUUUACAGGGAGCAUGAAGAGGCAUUUCAAUACUCGUUCCGUAAUGACUUUUUUCAAGAAGGGAAAAUUCAAACGCUGUUGGAGAACCCCGCCUGUUAUGGAACAACUACGGAACUAUUUGACUACGACCUUUUCGGGAAAUUUUUGGAAGGGGCUCUGAGCACAGGGCUCCCCGCUGCUUUGAACAAGAAGUAUAUGCGUCUCAACUCGCUUAAAUUCCGGGGCUUUUUGCACCGUACUACAAGUACA